UUAUCAUUUUUUAAAGAAAUUAUUUUAUUCAUUUUAGAGAGACAGAGGGUGUGUACAUAUAUGGGCAUUAGGAAGGAGCAGAGGGAGAGAAUACCCAAGCAGACUCCCAGUGAGUACAGAGCCCAACUCAGGGCUCCAUUUCACAACCCAUGAGAUCAUGACCUUAGCAGAAAACCAGGAGUCAGUUGCUCAACUGAUUGAGUCAUUCGGGUGGCCAUAUUAUUUUUUAGCAAGCAGAGCUAUGUGUAUUACAAGAUUCAACUGUAAUGUCAACUGCUGACCCUCCAUAGAAUUGAAAAUCUAUGUAUAACUUUUGACUUUCCAGAAACUUAACUAUUAAUAUCCUACUGUUUGACUGGAAUUCUUACCAUUAACACAGUCAUAUAACACAUAUUUUGCAUGUUAUAUGUAUUAUAUAUUGUGUUAUUACAAUAAAUAAGCUAGAGAAAAGAAAAUGUUAUCAUGAAAAUCAUAAAGAAGAAAGAUUACAUCUGCAGCAGUGUAUUCGUCCAAAAUGUGAGUGUAAGCAAACCCACACAGUUCAAACCCAUGUUGUUCAGAGGUCAAAUGUAUUCGGGCGUCCCAGGAAGACUUUUUUUAUUUCUUUUCUUUUAUUUCCCUCAUUAUGCAGAGAACUAGAAACACUCUGAUUUAUAAAACGUCUUUGGUGGAAUUUAAUUAAAGUGGCUCAAUUUCCCAGAGUGGCAUUGAGACAUUUCUGGUGGCAUUGAGACAACUGAGUGUAGAGCUUGCAGUAUAGAGAACCAGACAGGGAACAGAACUCUCUCCCCAUCAAAAAAAAAAAAAAAAAAAAAACACCUUUAUACAAUUUGUCAAUUUCUUGGCUGUAUUAGCAGACAGGGUAUAAGUAGUGGAUAUGACAACAAUGUCUUUUACUAGCCUUGAAAAAGACAUGCAGCAAUCCUUGGGUGUGGAAUCUAGUAGCAAGUCAAGUGACUCUAUAGAAAUCUUCAUACAGUUCUCUACAUCAGUGCUAAAUAUUAUAUCUCAGGCCACUUAUAUCUAAGUAUCAGCUGAAGCAUUUAUAUUUUAUGGGCCUAGCUUAGCCCCUGGAAUUUAGAAACCCAGUAAAUAAUAGUUACAGAAACUAAUAUUGUAUGGAGCCCAAAAAGCAAAGUGAUACUUCAAAAAUUGUGUUCAGUUCAAAGCCCUGAGAACAGACCAAAUGCUAGCAGGUCUCAUAAAUCUCUUAAAACUUUUUUCAGAAAACAGGUUGAUAAAUAAAAUCAUCCUGAUGACACCAACCCUGAAUAUUUUC
rnacentral:lncRNA from 1 species